UGAGUGGCGAACGGGUGAGUAACACGUGGGAAAUCUGCUUAGGAGUGGGGGAUAACAUUCGGAAACGGAUGCUAAUACCGCAUAUCUUUUUGAACCGCAUGGUUCUUAAACGAAAGACGGCUUCGGCUGUCGCUCUUAGAUGAUCCCGCGGCGUAUUAGUUAGUUGGUGGGGUAAAGGCCUACCAAGACCAUGAUACGUAGCCGACCUGAGAGGGUGAUCGGCCACACUGGGACUGAGACACGGCCCAGACUCCUACGGGAGGCAGCAGUAGGGAAUCUUCCACAAUGGGUGAAAACCUGAUGGAGCAAUGCCGCGUGAAUGAAGAAGGUCUUCGGAUCGUAAAGUUCUGUUAUUAGAGAAGAACAAGUCAAGGAGUAACUGUCUUGACUUUGACGGUACCUAACCAGAAAGUCACGGCUAACUACGUGCCAGCAGCCGCGGUAAUACGUAGGUGACAAGCGUUGUCCGGAAUUAUUGGGCGUAAAGGGAGCGCAGGCGGUUGGAAUAGUCUGAUGUGAAAGCCCACGGCUUAACCGUGGAAGGUCAUUGGAAACUGUCCAACUUGAAUACAGAAGAGGUAAGUGGAAUUCCAAGUGUAGCGGUGAAAUGCGUAGAUAUUUGGAGGAACACCAGUGGCGAAGGCGACUUACUGGUCUGUAAUUGACGCUGAGGCUCGAAAGCGUGGGUAGCAAACAGGAUUAGAUACCCUGGUAGUCCACGCCGUAAACGAUGAGUGCUAAGUGUUAGGGGGUUUCCGCCCCUUAGUGCUGGAGUUAACGCAU
rnacentral:rRNA from 1 species